rnacentral:lncRNA from 1 species
GCCAUUGUAAUACUAUUCAAAAGAGAAAAGUGACAGCCUGAUUUAUGAACAAAACAAUAAACGAAAAACAGUUAUGAUAUGCAGUAACAAACGUCAACCACUAAAUUAAAAGCUUCCGACUGUUGACAGGUUCAUACAGAAUGUGGUAGGUUUUACAUGUGUGUGUGCGCUCUAUCCUCCCCUUUAUGUUGGACAGUGAUAUGUAACAAAACAACAUAAUAAUUAGCUUUACAAAUCAGUUUGAAAGGGCUUAACACAAAG